rnacentral:rRNA from 1 species
UGAGGAAUAUUGGUCAAUGGUCGCUAGACUGAACCAGCCAAGUAGCGUGCGGGAUGAAGGCCCUCCGGGUCGUAAACCGCUUUUAGACGGGGAUAAAAGGGCGUACGUGUACGCCGUAUUGCAUGUACCGUCAGAAAAAGGACCGGCUAAUUCCGUGCCAGCAGCCGCGGUAAUACGGAAGGUCCGGGCGUUAUCCGGAUUUAUUGGGUUUAAAGGGAGCGUAGGCGGACUUUCAAGUCAGCGGUAAAAUCGUGUGGCUCAACCAUACCUCGCCAUUGAAACUGGAAGUCUGGAGUGCACACAGGGGUGCCGGAAUUCAUGGUGUAGCGGUGAAAUGCUUAGAUAUCAUGAAGAACUCCGAUCGCGAAGGCAAGUGCCCGGGGUGCACUGACGCUGAGGCUCGAAGGUGCGGGUAUCGAACAGGAUUAGAUACC